UACGUAGGGACCGAGCGUUGUCCGGAAUCAUUGGGCGUAAAGAGCGUGUAGGCGGCUCGCUAAGUCUUGCGUGAAAUCUCGGGGCUCAACCCCGAGCGGUCGUGAGAAACUGGCGGGCUAGAGUGCGGGAGAGGAGAGUGGAAUUCCUGGUGUAGCGGUGAAAUGCGUAGAUAUCGUAAGGAAGACCAGUGGCGAAGGCGAGUUUCUGGACAGUUACUGACGCUGAGGCACGAAGGCCAGGGGAGCAAACGGG
rnacentral:rRNA from 1 species